UUGAACAUGCGUCAACACCGCAGGCUGUUUAAAACUGUGUCUUCCUGGGUUUAGAUUAGAGCCUGAGAAUAUCAGUGGUAAAAUGUUUGUGUGUGACGUCCUUUCUUGGCAUCCCACACUUUCAACAUCUCUCCCUUAAUUCCUCAUCUCUUUCUUUCUCUCUUCCUCUUUCAGACAUUGACGAGUGUAAUACAGACGGAGUAUGUGGAAAUGUGGGCAUCUGUCAAAACCUGAUUGGCAGUUACUGGUGCCAGUGUCCUGCUGGAUUUACUAACUUUGGCAAAAACCAAGCUAAGUGUGUAGAGCUUAAUUGUGACCAGUAUGAAACACAGGCUGGACAGACUCUACCAGGCCUUGAUAGUUUAUUGUCUCUGUUGAGAAACAACUGUUUGGUGUUGAGCAACUCUAUGUUGCCUGGACCGACAAGACUGCUGCCAACUGGAGAUGUGCUUUUUACAGUAAGUCACCACACAGAAACACACAUGCAAACGCACACACACACACACAUACAAAACCCUCAUGUGUCUCUU